UACGUAGGGUGCAAGCGUUGUCCGGAAUUAUUGGGCGUAAAGAGCUCGUAGGCGGUUUGUUGCGUCGGCUGUGAAAACCCGGGGCUCAACCCCGUGCCUGCAGCCGAUACGGGCAGACUAGAGUUCGGCAGGGGAGACUGGAAUUCCUGGUGUAGCGGUGAAAUGCGCAGAUAUCAGGAGGAACACCGGUGGCGAAGGCGGGUCUCUGGGCCGAAACUGACGCUGAGGAGCGAAAGCGUGGGGAGCGAACAGG
rnacentral:rRNA from 1 species